UACAGAGGGCUCAAGCGUUGUUCGGAUUCAUUGGGCGUAAAGGGUGCGUAGGCGGCUCGGUAAGUCGGGUGUGAAAUCUUGGAGCUUAACUCCGAAACUGCAUUCGAUACUGCCGUGCUUGAGGACUGGAGAGGAGACUGGAAUUUACGGUGUAGCGGUGAAAUGCGUAGAUAUCGGCAGGAAGACCAGUGGCGAAGGCGGGUCUCUGGACAGUUCCUGACGCUGAGGCACGAAGGCCAGGGGAGCAAACGGG
rnacentral:rRNA from 1 species